CAAAUCGAUCUUACAACGGACAGGAAGUGACGUUAUCGUGUCAGGUAUUUUUGUAAGACGAUACAUGAUACUUGUGGCAUCUCUCCAGUAAAAGUUCCACUGUUGACAUUUUGAA